UACGAAGGGUGCAAGCGUUACUCGGAAUUACUGGGCGUAAAGCGUGCGUAGGUGGUUCGUUAAGUCUGAUGUGAAAGCCCUGGGCUCAACCUGGGAAUGGCAUUGGAUACUGGCGAUCUAGAGUGCGGUAGAGGGCAGUGGAAUUCCCGGUGUAGCAGUGAAAUGCGUAGAGAUCGGGAGGAACAUCUGUGGCGAAGGCGACUGCCUGGACCAGCACUGACACUGAGGCACGAAAGCGUGGGGGAGCAAACAGG
rnacentral:rRNA from 1 species